AGGAACAGUAUGAGCUUUGCCCUGUCAAUUUCGAUGAAAACCUUACUGAGAUUUUAAUUAAAUUGCCUGCACAUCCAUCCAUGCUUCCGUGCAUCCAUCCAGAAGGUCUUUAUGGAAUAUCACGAAUGACAGAGAGAUGAGUGUUUCUUGUGAAGGAGGAAGCACAUUUGUUCCCCUGGCCCCAGAGGAGAGAAAGCAGACCUGGGGGCUCCCCUGCUGGGACAGUGAAGGGCUUGGCAGGACUUUGUGACUGCCAUGGCUCCCAGAAAACAGAACUGCCUUUUCUGAAAGACUGUGCCCACCCUGUCCCUGGAGAUGAGACACUGCUGUGAAAAGUUCUACUUCCUCCCAUGUGAAUCCAGGACACAAGUCUAAGUCCAGACUUCACAGCCCAGAGGGGCCACCCCCUGCUCAGCCAGGAGCACGCUGACUCCCGACUGUGGAAAGUUUGCUGAGUCUAAGUGCAAGCAGAUGUCUCCAGCUGCUGGAUCAUACAGUCAUAUGAAACCAAUCACCCGCUGUGCACAAACAUGCAUCAUCAGGCCAAAGUCUGAAGAUGCAACCAACUCAUCUUGCUUCCCGUA